rfam:Myotis brandtii contig174568, whole genome shotgun sequence.
CGUGCACCGGUGGGGUCCCUUGGCCUGGCCUGUGCCCUCUCGCAAUCCAGGACCCCUCAGGGGAUGUUGGACUGCUGGUUUUAGCCUAAUCCCCACAGGCCAGGCCAAGGGACCCCACCGGUGCACG